rnacentral:rRNA from 1 species
CCUACGGGUGGCAGCAGUCGAGAAUCAUUCACAAUGGGGGAAACCCUGAUGGUGCGACGCCGCGUGGGGGAAUGAAGGUCUUCGGAUUGUAAACCCCUGUCAUGUGGGAGCAAAUUAAAAAGAUAGUACCACAAGAGGAAGCGACGACUGACUCUGUGCCAGCAGCCGCGGUAAUACAGAGGUCUCAAGCGUUGUUCGGAAUCACUGGGCGUAAAGCGUGCGUAGGCUGUUGCGUAAGUCGUGUGUGAAAGGCGCGGGCUCAACCCGCGGACGGCACAUGAUACUGCGAGACUAGAGUACUGGAGGGGGAACCGGAAUUCUCGGUGUAGCAGUGAAAUGCGUAGAUAUCGAGAGGAACACUCGUGGCGAAGGCGGGUUCCUGGACAUUAACUGACGCUGAGGCACGAAGGCCAGGGGAGCGAAAGGGAUUAGAUACCCGGGUAGUC